rnacentral:tRNA from 1 species
GUCUGGCUGGUUCAGUUGGUGGUGCAUGCGACUCUUGAUCUCAAGGGCAUGAGUUCAAGCCCCAUGUCAGGCA